rnacentral:lncRNA from 1 species
UUGCAUCAAGUGAAGUUGUAAAGAGAGAAAAGAUGUUAGGCUGUCCAAAUUACCAGUUGCUUUCACUUGUUUUGAUCUUACUGUUAAUAAUGGUUGAUCCAAGUUCACAAGAAAGCCGUGUGAAAUCUGCUGUCUUUCUAUCACCAGCGUUUGUGCUGGAACCUGGAUCUGUCUCUAACAAGUUUUACUACAACAUUGGCUUCCCAAAAGGCCAUAUUGCUAUCAAAAAUUUCGAUGCCGAAGUAGUUGAUGAGGCAGGGAAUGCUGUACCUCUCUACGAGACAUAUCUUCACCACUGGGUUGUUGUAAGAUAUUAUAAUCGAAAAGGUGUGGAAGUAACAAAGUACCGUGAUGAUUUGGGGUUCCACCAAUCAGAUUUAAUUGUCAAGAGAAACUCAGGGAUAUGUGAUGGAGGCCUUUCUCAAUAUUUUGGCCUUGGGUCAGAGACGCGAAAAACAAUCACCUAUGUUCCAGACCCUUAUGGAAUAGAAGUCGGUAAUCCAGUCGAAGUACCUCCUGGAUACGAGGAGAAAUGGUUGCUCAAUUUACAUGCAAUUGAUACACGAGGUGCGGAAGAUAGAUUGGGAUGUACUGAAUGCAGGUGUGAUCUUUAUAAUGUUACCAAGGACGAGCAUGACCGAGUUAUAGAGCCAGAUUACAUUGGAGGGUUGAGAUGUUGUUACGAUGAAACAAGAUGCAGGGUGAAAGACGGAUUCCAAGGAUCAAAGAGAAGCCUGUACCUGAAGUACACAGUGAAGUAUAUUGAUUGGGAUCCCUCCAUCGUGCCUGUAAAAAUUUAUAUACUCGAUAUAACUGAUACAUGGAAAAAGCCAGAAAAAUCGACUGCCGCUGUGGCAAGACAUCACUGCCAGGUGUGAGAGAAAAUGAUAAUUUAGCUCAUAAUUCAAAUCAUUUUUAACUCUUUACUAAUAUUCAGGCAAUUUCUUUUACUUCAGAUUGAAUAUUUAGUGGAGUCAUGUUCAUCAGCUGUUGCAAAUGUCGAUUGCACUCAUACAAAGAAGAUAAUUGUAACUUUUCCUAGCGGCGGAGAUGUUAUCUAUGGAGUUGCUCAUCAACAUACAGGAGGGACUGGUAUGGCACUCCAUGGAGAGGUACUCCGAGCUAUUAUAUUUUGUUUCUUUGGUUAUGCUCUGCUUACAAUCUGGAUUACUUGUAUACGUUUCUUAUAUAUUUUCAGUCGAUUAACUUAUUGAUAAAAACAAAGAUUUUUGUACAAUAAACUUUUUCAUUUAAUGAUACUUGGCUUAGUUGGGUGUCAUCUUAACACUGGUUAUGUAUGCCACGACUUUCAAGACCAGAUUGAUUGAAUCCAUAUCUAAUCUCGUUCUCUUAACAUCCUAUAAAAGAGAAGUGUUGUUAGUGUUUAUUUGACAUGAUUGUCAUACUUCCACAGAUUAUUUUGUUGAUUCAAACUGUUAUGUCCCAGACUGUCAGAAUGGUAUCAUUUCAAUUUAUUUUCAAUUAGCUGCAGAAAGCUUGAUGUUUUUUAUUAUACUGAAUGGAGCCUCCUGCCCGUUGAGACAAUUAAUGGCCGUGUUAUAUUGUCUGCUUAGUUAAUAUAGUGGCCUCUCGAUGAACUGCGUCAUUUUAUAGGUGAUAAUAUUGCUUCUUGAUAGUUAACUGCUUUAGUUUUGUAAGUGCAUAGGUGUAAGUUCAGUACUUGUGUGGGAACUCAGGAAGAUAAGCUGGUGUAUAAGGCCAUGGCUAUCGGGUAGUAAAACAGUCAUAAUAGUUGUUGCGUGUUUGUAUAGCAUAUUAUUCUCAAUUGUCGUCAUGAUUAGCUAAGCAGAUUUACUUGUUCUGAUUUGUGGAGCACCUUGUUUGUUGGUGUUUGGUGUUGGUUAUUUCUUAAUUUCUUCUUCUCUGUUUCCGCUGCUUUGGUCUAGGAUGGACGUGUCAUAUGCUCAUCUCUUCCAAUCUAUGGGGAAGGAAAGGAACCAGGAAAUGAAGCUGGUUACAUUGUCGGGAUGUCUACUUGUUAUCCUAGACCUGGCUCUAUCAAGAUCUCGGAAGGGGAGACUGUAACUUUACUAUCAAACUAUAGCAAUGCCCAAAGGCAUACAGGAGUGAUGGGGUUGUUCUAUCUCUUAGUUGCUGAACCAUCACCGAAGCCUAAUUCUAUCCUACAUUCCACAGAUGAAGUAAGAUCUUUGACUCAUUAAAAGUUUUCGAGAUUCAGAGUAGUGAAUUUCCUACUUGAGUCUACACAAGAUCAUAUAUUUCUGAACUUGUUUCUUCUUCACUAUUGCAGACAGGUGAGAUUGUAAUAUUGCAGAAUGCUAUUGGAGCCUUGGCAGCAGUGUUCGGAAUUGCACUACUUGUUGGUGCUGCUGUUAUUUAUCAACGUCGGAAUCAAAGGGAUCAGGAAGGCUAUGAGUCUAUACUGAUGUGAGGUUCUUUCCCUUCUGGUGACUCUGGUCCCUAGUGUAAUACACAAAAUUCAAGUUCUGAUCUCCCUUCUUUUCGUGGACUAGUUCCUCCACAUGUGUGUUGCACUUGUAUGUCAAGUCAUGAAUUAUACGAUUUUGUAAAAUAAUAAUGAUAUUAUUAAAAUAAAACUUUGAGUAAAUGAUAGUACAAGUAUUUGUGAAUGAUGUAUCUUUGGAUCUUUGUAUAGUGACAUGUUUGUCAUUGUUAAGAAGUUGAAUAGUUAAUUAGCAUUAAUUAGAUAGAUAUUAUCUAGCAAAAAUAUUCUUUUAACUUAUAAGUAGGCUUCUGUUAGGGUUUUGUCCUGAUUUUCUUACCAUAAUUUAAGAUUUAUUUUUCCUUAAAGAAAAGACAAAACAUUACCAUAAAUGUUUUUACUUAUUUGAAAGGAAAAUAUAAUAUUCUUUCAUAUUUGAUUUAUUCUCUCCUUUUAGGACUCCUUUUCUAGUAAGAAAAGGUUUUAGGACUCUAUAAAUAUGUUUGUUUCUUCUAACACAAAAACAAUAACAUCCACAAUGUAGUCGUUUAACAGUCUUGUUUAUGGGGAGAUUUAUUCUCUCUAAAGUUUCAAUGUUUUUCUUUAUAUUAGUUUUGAUAUAAUAAUAUUUUGAUUUUUUAGUAUAAGUUUUUUGUUAUCUGAUUUAUCAACUAUAUGAUUUGUAAAUUGUAAGCUUCCGCAUGACGCCCUAAUCACCCUUCAGAACCCAACAGCUUCCUACUUCUAAAAGUAAAUAAGUUCAAAUUUAAUUUUCAAUCUGAAUAUCUCAAAGGCAAAACAAUUUGGUUAGUUGACAUCUUACUUUUGCAGUGAAAUAGCAAGAAAGAAUUAAUUUAUUUCCAAGAGGUUACUGUUGCCGUGAAAUAACAAAAAAGAAUAAUUUAUUUCAAAGAUGUUACUUUUGCUUUUCUAAGGACAAAACAGAUCUUGAAUUCAGCUAAAAUUAUUGAAUUAGGAUUAAAUAUAAUAAUGUCAGAAACAGAUUUAAGGGAAAAUUACGCAACAAGGCAAAAUGUGAUAUUUAUUUACGAUAAAAUAUUACAAUUCGUAGCUAUAUGUAGGGUUUUAUAUAUUGUAUUCAAAAAACUAUUUUAUAUUUUGUAUCAAUUGUAUUUGUAUUCUGUAUCAAUUGUAUUCAUGAUACAACGAAUAUAAUAUGCAUUUAUCCCCUCUUUCAAAUAUAUUAUGUAUCAAUUAUAUCCAAUCAAAUAUAGGUGAAAGAUUUAUCUUUUAUAUCAGUUGAGAACUACCAUUGUCAUGGGAUUGCUCUUCAUUUAUUUCAUCACAAAAAAACUCCUAAUUUCUCCUACAUUUUUUAGUCUCCACACUGAAUUUUUACUAAUCUGGUAAGUUUGUCUCUUAUUAAUUUCUUUUUCUAAUACAAAAUUAUUUCUAUUCUUCCUAUACAUAAUAAGAAAAUGAGUAUGUAAAAACAAUAAGACUCACUCUUUUGUAUUCAACACGAAAAUAUGGUGUACUAUUUCUUAAUUUCCUAGUAUAUGUUAGUAUUAUACAAAGUUGCAUCUAUUUAUUUGACUUUCAAUUACCACAACAGGGGAAAAUAAUAUUUGCAGUAUCAUAUUAAUGAAUCUUCAGCUAGUUUUUGUUCUUUGUUCAACAAAAAAAAUGCCUAUUAAUUUGCCUCCACCAAACCCCGCCCAUACCCGCUCCAUUGUCAUCCCAAGCCUUGCCCUACCAUGGAUUCAACCCACCCUACCCUGCCCCGUUUAGCUCCUCUACUUUUUUUUUUUUAUCAAGUUUGCAAAGGUAAUUUAGAAAAUAAUCAAAUGUAAUCAAUGAAGCUUUGUUUCUCCUAAGAAAUUAACUAACAUGUUCCUAAUUACAAGAGUAGAACUUCAGGAGAAAAUGAUCGAAAUGGUCCUAAAUGUAUGUGUAAUGCUUUUUUUGGUCCUUAAUGCAUUUCACUUGAUUGGAAUGGUCCUUAAUGUAUAAUAAAUGUGUUCAUUUUAGUCCUUGAUAUAUUUCACUGGAUUGAAAUGAUCCUUAAUGUAUAACAAAAUAUGUUUAUUUUGGUCAUUAACCCUAAACUCAACAAGUUUAUCAAAAAAAUAAUCUUAAAUUUAACUGUGGACCCCACGUGGUGAAUUACUCCCAAGAAAUACUUUAUGAAAUCUAACAUCAUUUUCUCUAUUUUCUCUAACAUGUUUAUUAUUUUCUCUUGCUUAAAAUUGAAAUGGGUAUUAGGUUUUGAAAUAAUAUUAUAGAAAAGAGAAUAUAGUAAAUUUUGUUGGAGAAACUAGAGAAAAUGGUGUCAGAUUUAUGGAAUUCUUUCUUUAUUCUUUCUUUGGAGCUAACAAAAAAGACAAUAAUGGUAAUUUUUGUUAGCCAAGUAGGGUCUAAAAUAAAAUUUAACACUUUUUAUUUAGAUAUAGGGUAAAAGAUCAAAAUGAACCAUUUCAAUAAAAUAAAAUACAUUAAAGAUCAAAAUGAACAUAUUUGUUAUACAUUAAGGACCAUUUCAAUCAAGUGGAAUAUAUUAAGGACCAAAAAUAUAAAGCAUUACCUAUACAGGACCAUUUUGGUCAUUUUCUCAGAAUUUCACACAUGCCUAUUGUUUAGCUUGAUGAACUUGUCAAAUGUAAGAGUUUUAGAGGUCGUUUGGUACAAAGUUUAAUAACGCAUGGAUUAGUAACACAAAGAUUAGUAAUGCAAUGAUUAGUAGUGCAAUGAUUAGGAAUGCAGAGUUUAUUUAUAUCAAGUGUUUGGUUCAUUAUUUCUCACCUCUCUUGUGUUUGGAUUAAAACUCUAUAAAGUUUCUUUCCAAUUAUACCCUUGAAUUAUUAUUAAAUUGGGUCAAGUAAGAUAAUUAUCGGACAAUGCUAUUUUUUAUGGCGUUCUAACUAGCUAUGAGAAGAACAAUUUAGUUGUCAUGUUUGCUAUUUUUUCACUUGAAUUAUUUGAGGAUAAAUAAUUGUUAUCUUAAUAAAUUGAUCACUAAAAAAAUGUCAAUUUCCAAUUUAAAAAAGAUAAUCCAUCUACUUUUAAAAUAUGUUGCAAAUGUCGAUUGCACUCAUACAAAGAAGAUAAGCAUAACUUUUCCUAGUGGAGGAGAUAUCAUCUACGGAGUUGCACAUCAACAUACAGGAGGGACUGGAUGGCACUCCAUGGAGAGGUGCUCUAAGCUAUUAUAUUUUGUUUCUUUGGCUAUGUUUUCUUAUAUAUUUUUAAUUAUUUUUUGUACUUGGAUUUGCUAUAUUUGAGCCGAGAAUCUUUCAGAAACAAUCUCUCUAUCUCCACGAGGUAGUGGUAAGGCCUUCGUACACUCUAUCUUCUCAGACCCCACUUAUGGAGCUACACUGGGUAUGUUGGUGUUCUUGUUGAUGAUACUUGGAUUAUUAGUUGAGUUGCAUCUUAACACUGGAAAUGUAUGCCACAACUUGCAAGACCAGAUUGAUCGAAUCCAUAUCUAAUCUCAUUCUCAUAACAUAAAAAAAGAAGAAGUGUUGUUAGCAUUCAUUUGACACGAUUGUCAUACUUCAGAAGAUGGUGUUGAUUAUUUUCUUAAUUUCUUCUUAUCUGUUUCCGCUGCACUGGUCUAGGAUGGACGUGUCAUAUGCUCAUCUUUUCCAAUCUAUGGAGAAGGUUAGGAAAGGAACCAGGAAAUGAAGUUGGUUACAUUGUGUUGAAGAAGAAUGGGUAUUAUUCUCAUUCAUUGAUGUCCAAGUUGAUCGAAGAAAGAAAGGAAAUAAGUAUUGUCGGAAGAGCCCAUAUGAAUACACAUAUAUUGACAAAUAGCUUGUCUCCAGGCUCCACACGUGGCAACAUUAGAGCGAAUACUUUAUUCAUUGAUGGAUUAAAUCUUAACCAUCUGAUGAAACCCAAACAAAUAGCUAAUGUGGUCACGUAAGGAAAGUAUGCCUAUAGAAAAGAGAAUAUUUUCUGUUAUAGACUAGACCAAUAGUUUAGGAACAACCGUACAAAAUAUAUUUUCUUUCUUAUUUAUUUUCAGCAAAGCACUUGUAAAAAUACAAUCCCUUUGGGAAAUCAAUACACAAUGAAAUUUUAAAAAUCUUCUUUCAAUUUUCUAACAUGGUAUCAAAGCAAUAAGCUCAACCUAAAGAUUUCCUAUCAAUCAACAUGAGUGAUGAGACCCAAAUCAACAUUACCAAUGCUAGAAACACCAUCGACCCUGUCAACACGGGAUCUGGAAACAAAGUUGACAUCAAUCAUCAUUUUCACCUUCAACCUUCAGAUGCACCAGGGCAGACCCUAGUGAAUACCUCAUUUGAUGGAAGAGGUUUUCCUGGAUGUCGAAGAUCUGUCCUCAUAGAUCUCUCAGCUAAGAAUAAGCUGGGUUUUAUCAAUGGAUCCAUCACACCACCAGAUCUGAAUACAUCAAACUACCAACAGUGGAGUCGAUGCAAUCAUAUGGUUACUUUUUGGCUUCUGAAUUCUGUCUCCAAAGAUAUAGAAGGCAAUGCAAUCUGCUCCAAAACAUCUAGAGAUAUGUGGAUGAGUCUUGAGCAUAGGCUUGGGAAAACAAGUGGAGCUAAGUUGUUUCAUCUACAAAAAGAGAUCAUAGGAUCAGUACAAGGUACACUUGAUAUUUCUACAUAUUUUACUAGGCUCAAACGUCUAUGGGAUGAGCUAGAUUCGCUGAAUGCGGAUGUAGUGUGCACUUGUGUUUGUAUAUGUGAAGGGCAAAAAAAAUUAACCAAAUCGCUGCAGGAUCAAAGACUUGUGCAAUUUUUAAUGGGUUUGACUGAUGUGUAUUCCAAUGUUAGGAGUAUCAUACUCAUGUCAAACUAUCUUCCCACACUUGAUUAUACUUGUUAUCUAUUGCUACAAGAUGAGAAUCAAAGGGAAGUGUUUGCUAAUGCUCAUUUUCCUAGUGAGACUGUUUCAGUCAUGGUAGGUAUAACUGCAAGUCCUAUACAGAAGCAAGGGAAACAAGCUCAAAGGAAUGUUUUCCCAUUGCAGAGGCAAAAAGGAAACCAAUUCAGAAAUAAAGGAAGAAAGACAAAAUUUAACCCUGAUGUGACCUGCAAUCACUGCAUUAAGAUAGGGCAUAUAAAAGAAGAUUGUCACAGGUUGAUAGGGUAUCCUGAUGAUUUUUAAUUUACCAACAAUAGAGAAUUUCAGGGAACACCUAAGGGAAACACAACAAUGAUAAGAGAAGUUUUUGAGGAAAGUGACACUACACAAAUUCAGAGUAACUGGAAGGAAGGAGGGCAACAAUUCAACAAGGCGCAAAUAACACAAAUCAAAAACAUGAUGAAGGAAGAAAUGGGACAUGGAACAACUCCUGAAUCAGAAAUUAAUGCUAAUGUUGUUGCUGGUACUAUUCUUAAGUACUCUGGUUCUUGUUUUAAGAUUGUGGACUCGGAGCUUCUGAGCAUAUGUGUUAUGAUUCCAACUCUUUCCUAUUUUUUAACUCCUCUUAUUGUUCCUUUGAGUAUCAGUCUUCCAAACUUUUUAAAAAUAAAUGUCACACACAUAGGUAGUGUUUCUUUUAAAUCUCAACUCACUCUUAAGAAUGUUCUUUAUGUCCCAGAUUUCAAAUAUAAUUUGUUGUUUACUCACAAAUUAUGUUGCCAAUUUCAUUGCACUUCUUAUUUUAAUUCUAGUGGGUGUAUGUUGCAGUCCCCUUUUAUGAAGAGGGCACAAGCUUUUGGUAAAGUGAAGGAAAAAGUUUAUAUGUUUUGGAGCAGAGAAGUGAUCAAUCUAAGAAGUCUUCUAGUGAUAAUAGCUUUUCUUUCAAAAAAACUCAGUCAUGACAGUCCCGUUUCUAGCUCAAAUCUAGAGUCAGUUCCAAUGUAUGCAAAUGCUAUUUCUAAUGCACAACUCUGGCAUUGUAGAUUGGGACAUCUCUCUUUUUCAGUAAUGAAAAGUUUUUGUUUCAUUGAUUUUUCUUCAAAUUCUGAUCAUGUGUGUGAUGUAUGUUCUAAAGUUAAACAAACUAGACUUCAUUUUCCCCUUAGUAGUAUCAAAUGUAAAGGAAUAUUUGAUUUGAUUCACAUUGAUACAUGGGUCCUUACAAGUCCUGUACUCACAAUGGUUAUAAGUACUUCUUGACUAUAGUAGAAGCACUUGGACUUUUCUUUUGACAACUAAAAGUAAUGUCUUCUUUGUUCUCAAAUCCUUCUUAUGUAUGGUGGGCUCAUCAGUCUCUCUUUUGUUCCCUCUCAACACCAGCUUGCCGAUCUUUUCACCAAAGCUCUCUCUGGUGCACCACAUUGUGAUCUACUGUGCAAGUUGGGGGUUUCAUCCACCCCCUCCAACUUGAGGGUGAUGUUGAAGAAGAAUGAGUAUUAUCCUCAUUCAUUGAUGCCCAAGCUGAUCGAAGAAAAAAUGGAAAGAAGUAUUGUCGGAAGAACCUACGUGAAUACACAAAUAUUGACAAAGAGCUUGUCUUCAGUUCCACACGUGGCAGCAUUAGAGAGGAUACUUUAUUCAUUGAUGGAUUAAAUCUUUACCAUCUGAUGAAACCCAAAUAAAUAGCUAAUGUGGUCACGUAAGGAAAGUAUGCCUAUAGAAAGGAUAAUAUUUUCUGUUAUACACUAGACCAAUAGUUUAGGAACAACUGUACAAAAUAUAUUUUCUUCCUUAUUUAUUUUCAGCUAAGCACUUGUAUAAAUACACUCCCUUUGGGAAAUCAAUACACAGUGAAAAUUCUGGAAAUCUUCUUUCAAUUUUCUAACACAUUGUCGGGAUGUCUAGUUGUUAUCCUAGACCUGACUCUAUCAAGAUUUCAGAAGGAGAGACUGUAACUUUACUAUCAAAUAUAGCAAUGCCCAGAGUAUACAUGAGUGAUGGGGUUGUUCUAUCUCUUUGUUGUUGAACCAUCAUCGAAACGUAACUCUAUUCUUAGUGUAUACUUGUUAUGCUGUAAUUUUACUAACUUUAGAAAAAUCACAUUUUGAAAUGUUCUAAGUAUAAAACAAUUUGAAAAACGCCACUUAAUUUUUUUUAAAGAAAUUAAGAAAACUUAAUUUAAAAAGACUCUAACAGAUUAAAUCUUUAUAAAUUUAGAGAAAAUGGGUAAGAGGUUCUUAUUUACGCUUCAAGAAGGUUUUUAAGGCAUUUGAAGCGCCCACUAACAUGCGGUUAUCCUACGACUUGGUUAAAAUAUAUUUGACUAUUUUUUAGGAAAAUGAUUUGACUUACAAACUAAUAAUUUACAAUAUUUGAUUUAACUUUGAAAAAAUAAUUAAAUAAAGGACACAUUUUAUUUUAUUUUUAAGGAAAGGGACCUAAAUUGAAACGUUUGAAUCUAAUUACAAGUGAUUGGAACUUUAACAAAACUAGAUUAAUUAGAAUUUUUUAUUUUUUUGAAUCAUUUUAAAAAAUAAUAAUUUGAACUAAAUUAGUUAAUUUAAGCAUGAAACUAUUUUUAAUUAAUUAAAAAAAAUAAGUUUUGACUAAUGAUGUUAAAUAAAAGUAUGAGAGUUGAUAAAAAAUGAGUUAUAUUAAAAUGUACUAACAUAAAAAAUAUAGUUCAUCUUUUGGGGAAUUUAAUUAAGCUAACCUUAAAAUUAAUUAUCAAAUAAGCAAGUAAGAGUAAGACAAAUUAAUAAAUUCAAAUAGAGAGUGAGGGAGGAAGAUUUGGGCCUUUCUGAUCUUGGGCUUUUGCCCCAUUUCCCUGUCCUAAACUAUUAUAAAGGCUGCCCAAAAAUCAGAUGGGCUUUGGCCCAUCUUCCAAAAAAAAAAAAGCUGCCUGAAUUUUCUUGGGGCUUUUGGGCCCAUUUCUGAUUUUUGUAUACAGACCGUAUACUGUCCGUAUAUCAGUGUAUAUAACUCCAUUUUUAACUAUCGAGACUUGUAUUUUUCGUCUUCGACCUGUAUAUCCGCAGUUUGGAUCUAUAUUUCAGUACCUCAACCUAUAUAUCAGUGUAUAAAUAUUGUAUACAACAUGAUACAACCCAUUUCUUGGGCUUUUAAACAUUUCUAAACUAAUUUCCAGCAGUUUGUUGGGCCUCCGGGAUCUGUAACGGCUUCCAAAUACAUAGGGGGGCUGACUCGAGAAAUAGGGAAAGCAAAGAUCGAGCCUUUAUGGCUCAACUCGGAAAUGUAAGGUAGAUAAGUCCACCAUGGACUCGAAAGGGGGUCCAUACAAGAAACGAAAGAAAGAACAAAAUUAGUAUGUGAGACGAAGAAGCAAAUGAAGCAUAAUUCAAUUGAAGUAAAGAGCAACUCAAGCACUUUAAAAAAAAUGCAACCAAAGCUACCAUAGGACAAAUGAAUACUACUGUAUCAAAGGAAAAAAAAACUCACUCUUCAUCUAUGACUUAACAGUGCAUGAAGGAAAUCAAAGCAUGAUAGGAAGUAAUGUAUUUAACACUAGACUAUCACAAUCUACGCAUAAGGAAAUUUCAAGGCAUAUGUAUACACACACAAGAAUAAAGUUUAUAAGCGAGUGAAAAUGGAUGUAAUAAAAGCAGCUCACAAUAUGGUAAACAAAUAGUUAGUAAUUAACAUAAUUAUGUAUAAAAGAGAGAGGGAGCAGGCUAACGAACAAUCAAACUAUGCAUCUACCAAUAAAUAAAGCCACCUAUCGCAGAGGUAUCAUAAAUCAAAGAUAUGGAGUAAGGUAAUUUUGUUUAUUUGGAAAUAGAAGCCACCAAACAUGACAAUCGAACUGCGAGGAAAAUAACACCAAAGAUUCAAGUUUAAUCAUCCUAAGGACCAAACUCUAGCCAACUAAGAUAUAAGAGACUUAAAUGGGGAUAUACAUACAUGAAAAGAGAGCAAAUUACUACGCUAAGUAUUCCUAAGGAUAUGUAUCGGGACAACGAGAUCAUGAUGAGAUAUUAGAACAUUUUAAGCAAAAUCAAAUCCGAAGCGGGGCGACAUUUGAGUAAAAAAUGAAAAUGGCAUUGUCAAACACUAGAUCUUCCUAUCAUGGCAAAUAAAGACAACCUCAUUCAAGUAUAAUACUUCUAAACACAUAAAGAUUAAGCACAUGCAAGGAAAAUACCUCGAAAUGAACCCACGAUAAUUUUGACAUGCACUAAAAGACUAGAAAAGUUAUAAACCCAUACCGGUUUAAUUAAACUAAAAAAAAAAAACUGAACACAUUUUGCUAAGAAGAGAGUGUACCAUACAAAUUACAUAUAUUGUUAAAUCAAGGCUACUCUCUUUAUUAGAGAUUAACAACACCAAGUAGUGAACAAGAAACAUAGCAAAGCAAAUUCACUACGAAACUUCUGUAAUCAUUUUUGACAAACAGAGAAGCAGUAAAGAUGAACUACAUGGACGACAUAGAUUAGGCAAAUAACAGAUGCUAAAAAAUGGUCCAAGCCAAAGCCAAAAUCUUAUCCCAUGAACUUGAACACACACGGGAUGCUUACAAUCCAUUAAACAACUAACCAAGCAUGUUGGUGGAACAAAAUCUAAUUUGUGAAUACUUAACAGAAAGCUAGUACACCAUUUCAGAAAUGAAUAAGUAAAUGACAUAUCAAGCUCAAAAAGAAGCCGACAUAAUUAAAAUUGAAAACUUCAAAAGAUAAAAAUACGAGAGGAAGAGGAAACUUGAUAAAGGGAAAUAGAUUACCUUUUCGGGGGCAGCGAGACUAGGACAAAUGAGCUGAGAACAACGACUCUUCUACUAUGAAAUCUAUAUACGAACAACACGCUAAGAAACUCCGAGCGUCGAUCUUCUCAGAGCUUAGAAUCAGAAAGCUAGAUAUGGAAUUCUUAAGUGUAAAAUGUCUAUGGCUCAAAAACCAAGCUCAAAACCCGUGUCCUAAUCACUGAGAGUAGGGGGUUAUUUAUAAGGAAAGUUGGGGUGAUUUGGGGGGGGGGAAUCCGUUCAGCAAAAUUCAAAACUUUUGAAUUUCUUUCUUCGUUUCCAAAGGGAACAAUGAAAGAGAUUUGAAGAUCUCUGAAAAUGGGGGAAAGGGAACAACGAUUUGAUCGAUUAGGUUGCUAGGGUUAUGGGUUUGCAAAUGGGUGACGUACGGGUUUUUUUGCAAAGAAGAAAAGGCGUGCGAUUCUGGGUUUCUUUCUUUGACUUUUUCGCGAAGAAAAUGCAGGGGUGGGGUCGGGUUUGGUACUGCUCGCGAUUUUCUGGGUUUGCAGCGUCCUGAUUUGCUUCGCGAGGAAGAAGAAAGGCGCGUGGAUCACGUCGCGUACUGCUGAUGGCAUUGGGUUGGUUUUUGGUACUGCUGUUGUGAGUAUUUGGGAGUUGUUGAUGAAUGUAAUGUGGGCUGCUGAUUUAAAUGGAAGUUGGGCUAAAAAUUGGCCCAAUUUUGGUCUUAAAUUGAUCCACUAAAUGGAGCAAAUAUUGGUUAAAAUUCAAUUUUGAAAAAUAACCAUAUAGAUUACAAAUUCGGCCGAGUGAAGUUAAGGACAUAGUCGAUUUGAAUUAGUUGAGGAAUUCGACUAAGGUCAAAUAAGAUGAAUUAAUAUAAAUUAAUUAAUGAGCUUCUUAAUCUUAACCAGAUAAAAUAAUCAAUUUUAAAAUAUUAACUAUUAAUUAAUUAAACUAAUUGGCAAAAUUUAAAGCAAAACUAAAACCUUUUGAGACGAUUUUCAAAUAAAAAUAUACUAAUUAUAUACAUAACUAUAAAAACAUAUUUAUUAUAUUUAAAAAUUAUAAAAUUGACAAAACUUACAUAAAAAUAAUUCGAAAAAUAUUUCGAAUUUCAUAAAAGCUAAUUAAUUCAAAAGUAUAGCUAUCACUUUAAAACACACUAAAAAUAUAAAAUCUUUUGAGAUGAUUUUCGAAUAUUUAUAGGAUAUACUUAUUUCAUACAUAAUAAUAUAAAACAUAUAUAUUAUUAAAAAUUAUAAAAAGUGAUAGACUAUUUAAAAACUUGCAAAAAUAUUUUUAUUUUAUUUUUUAAAAAUUUAUGAAACUAAUUAUUUUAAAUAAUUUGAAAUUAAAGAGGCUCGAUGAUUAAUCUAUAAUGUAGAGUUCCAGGGUGUCAACAAUACUGAUAUGAGGUUCUCUCCAUUUGGUGACUGUGCUCUCCUGUGUAGUACACAAUGCAAGUUAUGAUCUCUCUUCUUUUUGGACAUGUGUGUUGCACUUGUAUGUCAAUUUACUGAAUUACAUAAUUUUGUCAAUAUUAUUAAAAUAAAACUUUGAGUAAAUGAUGAUAUAUAUUAUGCAUAAGAAUAAAGUACUAAGUGUUUGUGAAUGACAUAUCUUUGGAUCUUUGAAUAGUGACAUGCUUGUCAAUGUUAAGAUGAUGAGAAAUUAUCCGAAUUUACGUAAGGAUGACUCUAGAAAAAACUACAACAUAGUAAGGCACGCAGGAGGAUGAGAAAGAUACACACAUAUAUAUAUAUACACACGCGCGCGCGCGCACACACACACACAUAUAUAUAUUGUGGUUCUUUGCUCUCUAUCUUCGGCCAUGCACCCCAUAUAAGUAGUGUCGCCACAACUUAAGAACAAAGACCACGACCGUCAACUCCAAGUCAUGAGUAAGGUAGUUCUUCUCAUGGGUCUUCAACUGCCUGGAAGUAUAGUCAAUCACUUCCCCUUUUGCAUCAAAACACCACCCAAGUCGACACCUGAAGCAUCACAAUAUACGAUAAAGCCCACACCCUCUUUUGGUAGAGUCAAAACAAGUGCCAAAGUCAACAAGGUCUUGAGGUUUAAAAAGCUCUCAUCACACUCAUCAAACCACUGAAAACCCACACUCUACUAAGUCAAUCUGGUGAGUGGGGUUGCAAUAGUAUAGAAACCCUAUACAAAUUGUAUGUAGUAGCCUACCAACCUAAUAAACUACGAAUCUUAGUCGGAGAACUAGGCAUCGUUCAACCUCUCACCGCCUCAAUCUUGGCUGGAUCCACUCAGUACCCUUAUUGGACACCACACGUCCCAAGAAUGCCGCUGAAUUAAGCUAGAACUCACACUUUGAAAAUUUUGCAUACAACUUCUCCUCUCUCAACCUCUAAAGCACUAUCUUCAAAUGGAAAACAUGAUCCUUCUCAAUGUUGGAGUACACCAAAAUGACAUCUAUGAAUACAAUCGCAAAAGAAUCCAUAUAAGGUUAAAACACCCCGUUCUUCAACUCCAUGAACACUUCAGGAGCAUUAGUCAACCCAAAGGACAUCACCAAGAACCCAUAAUGGCCAUAUCGGGUUCGGAAAGUUGUCUUAGGGACAUCUGAUGCCCUAAUCCUCAACUGAUGGUAACUGGACCUUAAGUCUAUCUUAGAGAACAACCAGACCUCAAGUCUAUCUUAGAGAACAAAGUUGCUCCCUAAAGUUGAUCAAGCAAAUCAUCAAUGCACGGAAGAGGAUACUCGUUCUUCACCAUCACCUUGUUCAGUUGUCUAUAAUCGAGGCACAUUCUCAUAGACCCAUCAUUCUUCUAAACAAACAAGACCGGUGCACCCCAAGGUGACACACUAGGACGAAUGAACCUCUUACUCAAUAAAUCCGACAACUGCUCCUUCAACACUCUUGGGGCCAUGGGAUAAGGAGGAAUAGAGAUAGGCUUAGUGCCUGGCUCCAAAUCAAAAGCAAAAUCAAUGUCCUUAUCAAGAGGAACAUAUGGAAUAUUAGUAGGGAAUACAUCUGGAAACUCCUGAACCACGAGAAUGGACUCCAUGGGAGGUGACUUAACACUAGUAUCCAGGAUAAAAACCAAGUAGGAUAAACACCCUCUAUCCACCAAUCUCUAAGCACGUAGGAAUGAGAUAACCUUGCUAGGGUAAGAACCACUAGCACCUUCCACUCAAUCCUCGGAACACCAAGCAUCACUAAGGUCACAAUCUUAGCAUUACAAUCAAGAAUAACAUACUAAGGAGAGAGUCAAUCCAUACCCAAGAUAAAACUGCCAGUAAUUUAAUCUUCUCGAAUGCCCUUUUCACGAACGUGGUCCUUUAGGCGAUUAACCCACCGCAAACGCGGGAGUUUAUCAACUAAUGCGGAGGAAACACUCCUUAGUCUCCACGAACGUGGUCAAUCCCCACAAAUGCAGAGGACACCAGACAUCAACAACAUUAACAAUUCCCACAAGACACAAAAUUCACAGAAUGAAAGCCUUGGGAUUUGUUUAGAACAACAAAUUAGGUACACUACUCGACUAUAUUAAUGUUUCGGACUCAAUGGAACCACCGAAUCACCGAUUUGAGGUUUUCUUGACUCGAAACCUGUGAAAGUCGCAAUAAACUAACUAAACACUCAAAAAUACCAAACUGCCCUCGAAACCUCCAAAAAAUCAACCAAGACCACAACUAGGUCUAAAUCAUCCUCCGAAUCUAAUGAAAUCUUUGGAAAUCCAAUCUGAGCGUCCGAACUCCGAAUGUUGAUCAAAGUCAACUCAUGGUCCAAAAUCACUUAAAUUUCUAACUCAAAGGCUCAAAUCCACAUAACAACCCUAAAAUAGAGAACAACAACAGUCCUUAACCAAAUUCCACAUUACGGAAUUGAUGGAAUUUCAUUCCGAGGCUUGAAACUCUGGUUGUUACCAAAAAUCACUUUUAACAACUUUGAACAUUCCAAAACUCAAAACUCCCAAAAAUCACAACUUUUCAUUUAAAUAACAAAACCAACUUUGAAAACUGAUCUAAUGUGACUCUGAGCAUUUAUCGGGAGGGCUAAAAUGGUAAUUUUCCAAAAAUUUCCAAAAAUGACUUUCAGGGUCAUUAUAAUUACACAAUAGGACAUGUGCAAAUCAUGUUGUAGAUGUGAAGCUUAGUUGUUUGGUUUGAGGGCAUGUCACUAUCAUGAGAGUGUGAAUUGGUCCUCUAAUCAUUUAUUAUUUCCCUGAAAUCCCAUCUCCUUUUGAGUUGCCUAUGUCUCCCGUCUCCACACUCUUUGUGCUUAAAUUUGUGGGUCGUUAAUUGGUUGUGUAUACUAGCAUCAAGUGAAGUUAGAAAGAGAAAAAAAAUGUCACCCUCUUCAAAUUACCAGUUGUUUUCACUUGUCUCCAUCUUACUGCUAAUAACAGUUGAUCAAAGUUCACAAUCUCAAGCAACACAAGAAAACGGUGUGAAAGUUGGUGUCUUUCUAUCACCAGCGUUUGUGCUGGAACCUGGAUCUGUCUCUAACAAGUUUUACUACAACAUUGGCUUCCCAAAAGGCCAUAUUGCUAUUAAAAGUUUUGAUGCUGAAGUAGUUGAUGAGGCAGGGAAUUCGGUAC